rnacentral:misc_RNA from 1 species
UAGCCAAUCCAUAUACCUUUCAUGGCGCUUGUUGUAUUCUGUUGGCGUUGAGUUGGUUCUGUACACCUUAUGCACCUUAUGCAUUGAAUUUUUCUGCGAAACGCUAAAUAAGCUAUAAUGGCUCAGGUAAAUUCAGAGCUAUGUAAGGUUAUCGAUACGCUUACAUCUUCGGCAGCGGUGCAUGUCAAAAAGGAGUGCAUGGCAAAACUGAAGCUGUUGUGUCGUUCAUCCGACCGUUUGUUGAGGGAAGCCUGUGAUCUGUUGAAGGAGAGGCUGGAGGAAGACGACGCCGACGUCCGUUUAGAUACGCUUGCUGUCAUUCAUGAACUGUUCACUAGGUCGCACUUAUUUCGGACGUUAAUCUUGGAAGAUUUUCAGAGGAUCCUCGAGCUGCUUGUCGAAACAAACCCAGACUUGCCGCUUCCCGGAACUCCGGCAGCCGCCAAGAAUUUAAAGACGAAAUCAUUGGAAACGAUCGAAAAGUGGAACGAGAAAUUCGGAGCCAGCUACAAAAUCCUUUCCCUUGCCGUGGAAUACUUGAAGACCUGUGAAAAGAAGGUGCAGCGAGCGGAAGAGCAGCCCGCCUGGUCUCGAAGGCUUCUUUCUGAGAUUUCUGAGCGGACACCAGAUGUGCAGCUGAUUGUCACGCAAAUGGAAAACUGCUUUCGUCUGUUGGUGCCCAGUGAGGCAGAAGAAGACGAAGGCAAGGAAUCUGUACGCACCAUAGAUCCAUUGCCAGGAACAUCAUUAGCCGAGCGUCUUAGAGAUCAUGCAGUGCCUUUGACAUUCAGUCUGGAAAUAGAAGUGUCACGGAAAGUGAAUGUGCUGAAGACAGCGGACAAUGAAGAAGUUUUGGAUACCCUGAGACGACUCCACAAAGAGCUAAUGGAGACGUUCUUUCCAAUGGUUAAAAAGUGGCUUAAAGGACUGGCCAAGUUUGACCACCCAAGAGAGGUACUGAGGAACACAAUUGACCUCAAGCACCGCAUUGAAAUUGUACAUGAGAAGUUUGGAGAUUUAAAUGUGGGAUCUGAGGAGUCAUCUGACAGUGAACUUGAAGAGGUGCCAGAAAAAGAAGGCUAUGAACCUGUGGUUCCUGCUGGCCGCCGGGCUGAGUAUGGUCUUGGCCCUGUAGAGAAAAAGCCAAAAGUAAAGACGCCAGAUAAAGCCACUCAACCUAAGGAACCUCAUGAAGUGUCUGACCCAACUUCUCGAGAGGCACAACUGCGGAGGCUUAACAAGUUUCUUGGCAGCGAAUGCAGCAGUAAUGAUGGCAAGCCAAUUGGUAAGAUUGUGCCCAGUACUAAAGACCUCGAGGAGGCUGGUCCAAGCACAUCGAACAGUGCUCCAGUACGAGAUAUUGACCUAGACUUGAUUUACUGGGAACAAGACAAAAUUGAAAAAGAAGGAGGCAGUGGCUUCAGUGACCUGAAUUGUGUCUGGAAGGGGACCUCCAAAGAUGAUAACGUGCAAGCAAAGGAAUUGCCAUUUCGGGAGAGGCGCAUUGAAUUUAGUGGGAAAUUUGAGCCAGUUAAGUGGACCUGCCGUGCACCACUUCCUAGUGGCAAAUUAUGCCCUCGACGUGAUCGGCUGAAGGGAUGAUCUUGGCAACCCACGGGACUCAAGCUUAGUGCAGCCAACUCCGAGUGUGCCUGAGUGGCAAGAUCCUCAGCUGCUGCGGGACCUUGAGGCUGCCACAGGUGUCCAGCUACGUGUGGGCCGACCAGUACGGAAGCAGCGCACUCGUCGUGGUCCAGUAACCACUGCGAGGCAGCGCCUCGAGAAGAAGGUUUUCAACAAACGGGCAGCAAAAAGAGUGGCUGAAUCAAUGGAUUCUAUUGACAGCAAGAAGUUCCAGGACAAGUUUGGCCAUCAGUGGAACUAUGCAUUAGGGACAUGAGAGAGCUAACAAUUUGCUGUAUGAUAGGCUCGCAUAGUUCUGCCUCCUAUGAACU